UAUUGAAAGUGCAGCAAUCUUGAAGAUUUUCUUUUGAAUAGCACAAUCUUCUGUAUUUGUCAUAAGGUUGACAUGUAGAGAAAUGCAUAGCAAUAAAGAUGCUCAGAGAAAUCAGAUACUCAAGUGUACCAAAUGGAGGAAAGACAGCUAUGAAUUAAACUCUCUGGGCAUUUACCAUCCAGUGCCUUUACCAUUUAAUGACCCAUGGGGGGAGGAUCCACACUCAGUUUUUUAAACCCCAGGUUGUGUAACUGUCAUUUUCCAAACACAUAUCUUUAAUGACAGAACUGUUUACCUAUAUAAUGCAAAAUAAUACAACUGAAAAGCCACAUCUCCUGUAAUUAUAUACACGGUAAUCUAAAACCAGACAGCGAUAUUUGAACUAUUAAGAAUUAUAAACCGAUUUUGCCCCUAUUGUAUUCUCUACACAUGACGUUUCAAAAAUAAAGACCGAAACCUAAAAACAAACUGGUUUGAAACCCACUUUAAAGUAUUUUUAGACUGGUGUGUGUGAUUUAAAUAGAAGCUAAGAAACUGAGUCUGGAACAUUGAUCUCGUUUAUAAGCAUUUCUUAUUUCACUCCCAAACCCCAGGAACAGUUCAGAUCUCAGAAAAUGUAAACCAAAGGUCCACAGAAACCAAUGUGAGAUUUUUCUGGAGAGACUACUGAAAUGUUUGGACAGGAACAUGUUUGCAAUGAGUCAUAAUUUAUAAGAUCUUAAUGGCCAAUGCCUUCAGUGCCUUUCUUCCUACAUUCAAUAUCAUUCUCAAACCCGCUGGUGAUACAUUUUCCAGGCCCUAAUGAUUUUUACGAAGUUACCAGAUCUGUUUCUAAGGUUGCUACCUAGCACCUUUUCUAGUGCUGAUUUUGUAAUGCUAUCUAAACAGAAAAGAACCCGAUUCUCUUCCUAAAUUGCAAAUCUCUUUAACCAGGCAGUUAAUGUCUUUCCCCAGCGAAAGGACACAGUACUUUUAAGACCCCCAAGGAGAAGCUGAGGGGACUUGGGGACAUAACAAGUAAAAAAAAAAAAAAAAAAAAAGUGGAAAAGGAAGGGAAGGGGGCCUCUGGGCACUGGCAGACAUAAUAACAGGAUAUGUUCGCUUCUAGAGGAAGCAGGAGCUGCAAUAGCCCGAGGGCAGGAAAGGCGGAGCCAGUAGCAACCUAAGGAAACCGGGCGCGCGAGGGUUUGCACGGACCUGGCCCACUUAGGGACUCGUGGUCCAGUCGGGUCCAAGGCUGGUGAGCACCUCACCCGCUGGAGACCAAGCUCAGGUCUCCUGGCACUAGUGAUUAUAAAGAGGCACCCAUCUGCUCCCUGCCACCUCCGCCAAAGAUGGGCAAUGGGGCGAAGAGAAAAGCAAACACCAGGCGCCGCGGCAGGUGUUCCACGUGUCCAUAGCGUUUACGUCACAAUGACCUGGCCUACAGGUGGGAGCCGCAGCGAACGCCCCAGGGUUCCCUCUGCGCUGUGCAUGGCCAAGGUGAAAACUUGGGCAGUGACUCAAACAAUGCAAGCGAAAAGUGGCUUUGAAGACAGUGUCUUAAGGUGAACAAAUAUGUUCUACAAGCAGUAUCAGGUCAGCAUGGCACUGAAAUUCCUUGGUCUCCCAGAGAGUUUAAGGCUUCAAUGAAGAGAGGGGAUUUAUUUUACACCAAAGAGAAAGUUUUCGGUUUGUUGAGCUUCUCAGUGCUGUGGGUUUCUUGUUUCAUUCGAACUGUGAAAAACUUCAACCAUACCCAGAAUAACCAACACAAUAUUGAAGGAGAGAAACAAAGUCAAAGGACUGACACUACCUGACUUCAAAACUUACUGUGUAGCUACAGUAAUCAAGGUAGUGUGAUACUGGCAAAAGAAUAGACAACUGGAACAAUGGAGCAGAAUAGAGAACCCAGAAGUAGAGACCUGCAAAUAUAGUCAUCUAAACUUUGAUGAAGAAAUAAAGGCAAUUCAAUGAAGAAAAACAUAGUCUUUUCAACAAAUGCUGUUGGAACAACUGGACAUCUACAUGCCAAAAAAUGCAUCUAG